AAUCUGCCUGGUAGUGGGGGCUAACGUCCGGAAACGGGCGCUAAUACCGCAUACGUCCUGAGGGAGAAAGUGGGGGAUCUUCGGACCUCACGCUAUCAGAUGAGCCUAGGUCGGAUUAGCUAGUUGGUGGGGUAAAGGCCUACCAAGGCGACGAUCCGUAACUGGUCUGAGAGGAUGAUCAGUCACACUGGAACUGAGACACGGUCCAGACUCCUACGGGAGGCAGCAGUGGGGAAUAUUGGACAAUGGGCGAAAGCCUGAUCCAGCCAUGCCGCGUGUGUGAAGAAGGUCUUCGGAUUGUAAAGCACUGUAAGUUGGGAGGAAGGGCAGUAAGUUAAUACCUCGCUGUUUUGACGUUACCAACAGAAUAGGCACCGGCUAACUUCGUGCCAGCAGCCGCGGUAAUACGAAGGGUGCAAGCGUUAAUCGGAAUUACUGGGCGUAAAGCGCGCGUAGGUGGUUCAGCAAGUUGGAUGUGAAAUCCCCGGGCUCAACCUGGGAACUGCAUCCAAAACUACUGAGCUAGAGUACGGUAGAGGGUGGUGGAAUUUCCUGUGUAGCGGUGAAAUGCGUAGAUAUAGGAAGGAACACCAGUGGCGAAGGCGACCACCUGGACUGAUACUGACACUGAGGUGCGAGAGCGUGCGGAGCAAACAGGAUUAGAUACCCUGCU
rnacentral:rRNA from 1 species